GCUCAGGAUGAACGCUGGCGGCGUGCUUAACACAUGCAAGUCGAACGAAGCGCUUAAACGGAUUUCUUCGGAUUGAAGUUUUUGCGACUGAGUGGCGGACGGGUGAGUAACGCGUGGGUAACCUGCCUCGUACAGGGGGAUAACAGUUAGAAAUGACUGCUAAUACCGCAUAAGCGCACAGUGCUGCAUGGCACAGUGUGAAAAACUCCGGUGGUAUGAGAUGGACCCGCGUCUGAUUAGCUAGUUGGUGGGGUAACGGCCUACCAAGGCGACGAUCAGUAGCCGGCCUGAGAGGGUGAACGGCCACAUUGGGACUGAGACACGGCCCAAACUCCUACGGGAGGCAGCAGUA
rnacentral:rRNA from 1 species